rnacentral:rRNA from 1 species
CUUGGUCAUUUAGAGGAAGUAAAAGUCGUAACAAGGUUUCCGUAGGUGAACCUGCGGAAGGAUCAUUAAAGAAUGCCCCGUUUUUUGAAAUGGGUUCUAUUCCCAAACCGCGUAUACAUACCUUUGUUGCUUUGGCAGGCCGCCUUCGGGCGUCGGCUCACGCUGACCGCGCCUGCCAGAGGACCCAAACUCGUUUGUUUAGUGAUGUCUGAGUACUAUAUAAUAGUUAAAACUUUCAACAACGGAUCUCUUGGUUCUGGCAUCGAUGAAGAACGCAGCGAAAUGCGAUAAGUAAUGUGAAUUGCAGAAUUCAGUGAAUCAUCGAAUCUUUGAACGCACAUUGCGCCCCUUGGUAUUCCGAGGGGCAUGCCUGUUCGAGCGUCAUUAUGACCACUCAAGCCUAGCUUGGUAUUGGGGUUCGCGGUCUCGCGGCCCUUAAAAUCAGUGGCGGUGCCAUCUGGCUCUAAGCGUAGUAAUUUAUCUCGCUAUUGGGUCCGGUGGUUGCUUGCCAACAACCCCCAACUUCUAAGGUUGACCUCGGAUCAGGUAGGGAUACCCGCUGAACUUAAGCAUAUCAAUAAGCGGAGGA